rnacentral:rRNA from 1 species
AUGAGGAUCGAGCGGUGCUUGAGCAGAGGCGCCCAAAUAAGCAGCUCCCCCUUUGGGAGCAGCAGUCCCCAAUCGAAGCAGCAGCAGCUCCAUUUCGAGCUGCUUAUUUCCGAGCUGCAACCAGCAAUCGAAGCAAUCAAGCGGCUCCUCUCCGAGCCGCAGUCCGCAAUCGAAGCGCCUCCCUUUUUAAAUCGCAAUCCGCAAACAAAGCAGUCCUUCCCGGAAUACAAUCAGAAACAGGUCCUGUUUCAAAUUCAGUCUCCGAGUUUCAAUUGCUGGCGGGAACCCAGCCGCUAUAUAUCUGGCCUGGCGGCAACCGCGGUGCUAAUUCACGGCAACUCGUGA